rnacentral:snRNA from 1 species
UUGCCCUUUAUUUUCUUUUCCAU